rnacentral:rRNA from 1 species
UAAGCACGACUCCCGGCAAUGGAUAUCUCGGCUCUCGCAUCGAUGAAGAACGUAGCGAAAUGCGAUMCUUGGUGUGAAUUGCAGAAUCCCGUGAACCAUCGAG